GGUACUUUGGCCAUUAUAUUUUAACAAAAAGUUAUUAGUAAUAUAUUUUUUAUUGGUGUGCCUCAAUGAAAGGAUGGCACGUAUCAAGUUUCAUAUGCAGAAAACUAAAAAUUAAAUACUCUAAAAGGUGUUCUCUUGAUUAAAAAAUGAAGGGGUAGAUGGUAAGGGGAGGAUAGGAACGUGUUCUGUUGAUUAAAAAAUGGAGGGUAAGGGGGGAGGAUAGAAGUUGUAGGUGGUAGGGGGAAGAUGGAAAGCUGAAGCUUUCCCUACAGAGGAGAGGAGAGGAGACUGAUAGAGACUUUGUUGUUUGAACGCGUGGGUAGCAAUGAUUCGAUAGAGUAGUGUCGUUGUGGAUUAGUUUAGGGUUUUGAUCUCUCUUCCGAGGUAACACGAAACUAAUUCCUCUGUCUCGCACACCACACCACACCCUACCUCCCUUCCUUCGUUGCUACCAUGCGAUUGCAGGAAAGGUUAGAGAGAAGCUACUUAAGAUGGGGAAAACAAAAACGUCUCCGAUUUUUGCAGAACCAAGCACCACCUCCUGUACACCCUGCUCCUCCACCUCCUGUAAACCCUGCUCAAGCACCUCCUCCUCCUCCUGUACACCCUGCUCAAGCACCUCCUCCUCCUCCUGUACACCCUGCUCGAAAUCUGAUGCCUACCGGCAGAUUCCAUCCAUAUACCCGACCACAGCCCCGUCCUACUACCAAACUUCCUAGGAAACUCACCUCCACAGAAAAAUCUUUUGCCGGAACUCGGCCCUCCUCUUCUUCAUUGUUGGAAAAUAGGCUGUGGUCUGGUAGGCUCAGAAGUUCAAGCAACAAGGUGGAGGAUUUGCCGGUCUCAGCGUUUGAGGAGUUGGAGAAAGAGGAUAGUGGAGAAGAAGGUGAAGCGUAAGAGAGGUGGCUCGAGCUUGAGAUUAAGGUCAAAGUUGAAGUAGAGUCAUCGAAAUCAGUUGCUGCCAUGGAUCCCAUUCAAGCACCUGCACCUGUUGAUCUUGCACAUACACAUGCUAUGCACCAUAGUACUCGUGUUUGUAUUCUGCCUUCCCAAUUUGCUGAUUAUGGAACCUUCUUACCUUGGCAUCAGAUUCUUUCUUACCUCCAAUCACUAUUAUUUUGAGCUACAGACUUACAAAGAAGCUGCCAACUAGACGGAGUGGCAACAUGCAAUGUCAGAAGUAUUGAAUGACCUUAAUCAUAUGCAUGCUUGGGAACUGGUCCCUUUUCCAAAAGGAAAGGAUUUUGCAGAAUGGCCAAAGUAAUUUAAAUUGUUGGGCCUAGGCUAUUCUGCACCCAACCAGUCAGUCAAGAGUUUAUUAUUUAUGGGGAAGAAUCGGAGGUACAUCCUUGGAGAUCGACUGCAUAUUCAAUCUAAACUGUACAACUCAAACUAAUACAUGGUAAUGAUGCGUAUGCAGUACGAGUGGGAGUUCAUUGUAUGGGUCAAAUUGCUGGCAGAAUGUUGCUUUAUACUCUAAUUAUAGCAAGUAGUGGUAGUGUUGCUUUCUUCCCUUAUGGGUACUUUUUUCCUAACACACGGUUAACCCUUAGCUUAGGACUGAACACGCUCCCUCAUUUGUCGAUAGGGAUUGUUGGGGGUUUUCUUGCAAAAGCAAACAGGAAGGGCUUUAGAUGUGAUUUCCCAUUCAAAAAUAGAGCUAUUCUAUCGAAGAGAAUAGGGAUUUUCGAGGUUUUUCUUGCAAAAGCAAACUGGAAUUGCUUUAGAUGUGAUUUCCCAUUCAAAAUUAGAGCUAUUGUAUUGAAGAGAAGAAGUUUUCUAUUUUCAUGUUGAUUAUAAGAUAUUAACUCCUCUUGAAAUCAAGAAUUCUAUUUUCAUGUUGAGUAAUUAUAUGGCCUUGAAGAAACUUAUAUCAAAGCAAUAAAUCAAGAGUUCCUUUGUUAGCA